rnacentral:misc_RNA from 1 species
CUCGCUCAUGCUUGCUGUUCUGCUCUGCGCGCAGAGAGAGGUGCGUGGUGUGUGCGUGUGCGUGCGCCUCUGCGCCUCCCUCCGCUGCUCGCGCCCUCCCUGUGUGCGUGUGCUGGCGGAGGCGGCUGGCUGUGGCGACGACGCAGGCACGGGCAGCAGCCGUGCAGCACAGCAGGCGCGUACACGCAUACACACCUAUACACGCGGGAACGGGACUGCAGGCGAGGGGCAGGACCGGAGAAUGCGCGGCGGCACGAGCGAGUGCGACGGUGGAGCGGAGCAGCGGCGGCGCUGCUUUCCUGCUCGCUCCUCUGGCGUCUGGCUCGAGCCCGUCUGCGUGUGCGCCCCCUGUGUCGCUGUGUCUCCUCGCCUCUCUCCUGCGCGAUUUGUUUCGAUGGCUUCGUUGCUGACGCACCCCACCGAGUCCUCCAGGCUCCGCCGUGUGGAGUUGCCACGCCGUAUGUGACGGGUUGCAGCGCACCGACGCGACUGUGGGGAGAGAAGCACUGCAUCCAGGUCGACUACACUGCAGGGCCUCACAGGGCCCUGACCGGAGGCUGGGCAGCAUUCUCCCUCGGCUCGUGCGGCACGUAGAGCCACCGCUCCCCACGAACGCCCUGCUACCCUUGGUUACCCCCUCCCCACCGACAGAGGCCAGCGCCUCCGUCAUGGAGCACGACCCUGAGGGGGCGGCCCGCUGGGAGCGCGGCGUGCCGUGCGCCCCGGUGCGUGUGGCGCCGAUGCAGCGGCAGGACGGCUCGUCCUCGACGACGCGGAUGUGGCCGCCGUGCCACAGGGCGUAGGCGGGCCGUGGCUGUACGCGCGCAUCUGCCGGCUUGUGCGUGGUGGCGUGGAGGCGGUGAGAAGGAAGUGCAUGCCUCGCGGACUCGGACAGACAUGCGAAUCAGCACAUCUAAACACAAGCAAAACGACGCGUGCAUAUAUGCACCGAUAUCUAUAUAUAUAUAUGGGUGUGUGGAUGUCUGGAACGACAAAACCGCCAAACGCCUGUUAUUACGCUGUCCUCGCCUGGCAGGGCGGGGGCGUGCGUGCGCUUGCUUCUCCUCUCUUGCUUGUCCUGUGUUUCCUUUGCGGCACGCCUUCCUGCGCGCGUGCCUGGUAUUUAUCAUGCUUGCUUCCGUUGUCCGACUCGUUCAAACCAACAGCGUCACCGCCGCCACUGCCGCCCCCCUCCUCCGCGAGAGGGCAGGGUAGGGGGUGCAGGCGGCGCUCCUUGCUGCUGCCCGUGGUGGGGCCGCGCCAUGUACGUGCAGGUGUGCGCGCGCCCUCCGGCAGCGCAGCCGCUUUCUGCGCCGAUGCCUCAUCAUGUGCCCCACUCUUCUCUCUGCUGCACGUUGGUGCGCGGGCCAUGGGUGCUCCUCGAGGAUGCGCGGUGGUGCAGAGGAGCCGAUCAUCCGUGAGCGGCGCAGACACGCACACGCGCACACGAGGCACUCACAUGCGCACCUGAUGGCGCUCAUACUCGUCCAGGGGUGAGGCGCGAUGCGGAGAAGCACGGCGUAGAGUCUGUGUGCUGUGCGGCUGCUUGCCCGCUGGAGCGCUCUUGGCGGCGUUGGCUGUGUGAGGGGUGGCAAUGGUGGAGGGCGGCUGGUGUGUGUGUGUGCGAGCGCGUGAGUCCGGGGAGUGGAGGGGUGUGUUCAUUGGUGGAGGAGCAUGCUGACGAGCUGCGGCUCGCGUGCCCGCCGCCCUCGGCCCGGCGCCACGCAGACGCCGUCUGUGCUGCCCAUGUGUGCUGCUCUUCGUUCCCCCACCCCUUCGCGGCGGUGCCGUCUCCGUGGAUGCUGGGUCCGUGUGCACCCGCCGCGCAUCUGCCUGCUAUGUGCAGUGAACGGGAUGGGCGGUGUCGGCGGUUCGUGGCGGCGGUGGCGCUGCGUGGGUGGGCGGUGCUGCGGCCCCCCUGCACACACGUACAGAGAGGCCCCUCCGCCCCUCUCGCACCCUCCCCCUGCCCCCUGCCCCCUGCGCACAUGCGGCUCGAGCGGCCUGGCACAGGCGCGCCUACAGGACACCGCGGAAAGGCGAAAACAGAAGCGAGAAGCUGCCCACGAUAAGCCGUGUAGCUGCGGCUCUUGGCGCUGCAGCUCCCUCGUCCUCGCUGUGCGCCGCGCCGCUACGUGGCACCCGCGGCUAGGCGACGGCGUGCAUGGGCGGAGGGAAGGCCAGCGGGUGCGGGGCGUGGGAGGCGAUGCAGCGCGUCCCAGAGAGGGCUAGCGAGAAAUGCCCCCCUCCCCUCUCCCCCCGUCCUCUCUCGCUUGGCCCCCCUCGCCUGCGCUCCCGUGUCUCCCUCGCUGCCGUUGCGGCCCGUCUCUCGCAUCCGCCGGCCGCACCCCUGCCUAUGUGCCAGCCAAUGGCCCAUGCGCCCCCGCUGUGCACGCGCCCCAGUGUCACUUGCCUGUCUCGUCACCACUGCCUCCCCCGCCUGUCUCUCCCCGUCUCUCCGUCCCUCUCUUCCUCCCCCCCCUGCACACUGCUGCCCACGCCGCCCAUCCCUCCUCGGCCCCUCACAACACACCCGCACACAACAACACGCCCAACAACAACGCGUGCGCGCGCACGCCACCGCAACACAG